UUGCGGCCAUAUCACAUUGAAACAUCGAUUCUCCUACGAUCAUCGAAGUUAAGCAACGUUGAGCAUGGUCAGUGCCUAGAUGGGUGAUCGCUCGGGAAUACCACGUGCUGUAAG